rnacentral:sRNA from 1 species
GUUAGACUGGGUUUGAGACUUGGUUACUAAACAAUGUUUGUUGUUUCCGCUUCUUGACAUCGGAAGAGAGAAAAUAUCAUCGGAUUGAAAAGAUUCAUCGAAUUAAGUCAAGUAGUAUCAUCACAAUGGAUAAGAUAUGUACCUACGUCAGUGCCACAGGGGCAAAGCUACUUGAACUUGGAGCAAGAAUUUCAAAAGCAUCAUUCAGUUUUUCAUCAAAUUCACAAAACGAACGUUGUCACAAAAGGCUACGACUUAAUAACGGAGAAGCGGCCUCAGUCAACCCAAACAGAAGGACCAGG